CUACGGGGCGCUGCAGUGGGGAAUAUUGCACAAUGGGGGAAACCCUGAUGCAGCAACGCCGCGUGGAGGAUGACACAUUUCGGUGCGUAAACUCCUUUUAUAAUAGAAGAUAAUGACGGUAUAUUAUGAAUAAGCUCCGGCUAACUCCGUGCCAGCAGCCGCGGUAAUACGGGGGGAGCAAGCGUUACUCGGAAUCACUGGGCGUAAAGAGCAUGUAGGCCGAUAGAAAAGUUGGAAGUGAAAUCCUAUGGCUUAACCAUAGAACUGCUUCCAAAACUCUCUAUCUAGAAUAUGGGAGAGGUAGAUGGAAUUUCUGGUGUAGGGGUAAAAUCCGUAGAGAUCAGAAGGAAUACCGAUUGCGAAGGCGAUCUACUGGAACAUUAUUGACGCUGAGAUGCGAAAGCGUGGGGAGCAAACAGGAUUAGAUACCCUGGUAGUC
rnacentral:rRNA from 1 species